UACGUCAUCGUCGUCAUCGUUA
rnacentral:miRNA from 2 species